rnacentral:rRNA from 1 species
AUUGAACGCUGGCGGCAGGCCUAACACAUGCAAGUCGAACGGCAGCACAGAAGAGCUUGCUCUUUGGGUGGCGAGUGGCGGACGGGUGAGUAAUGUCUGGGAAACUGCCCGAUGGAGGGGGAUAACUACUGGAAACGGUAGCUAAUACCGCAUAACGUCGCGAGACCAAAGUGGGGGACCUUCGGGCCUCACACCAUCGGAUGUGCCCAGAUGGGAUUAGCUAGUAGGUGGGGUAAUGGCUCACCUAGGCGACGAUCCCUAGCGUGGUCUGAGAGGAUGACCAGCCACACUGGAACUGAGACACGGUCCAGACUCCUACGGGAGGCAGCAGUGGGGAAUAUUGCACAAUGGGCGCAAGCCUGAUGCAGCCAUGCCGCGUGUAUGAAGAAGGCCUUCGGGUUGUAAAGUACUUUCAGCGGGGAGGAAGGCGGUGAGGUUAAUAACCUCGCCGAUUGACGUUACCCGCAGAAGAAGCACCGGCUAACUCCGUGCCAGCAGCCGCCGCAG